CCUAGGGUGGCUGCAGUGAGGAAUAUUGGUCAAUGGGCGGAAGCCUGAACCAGCCAAGUAGCGUGCAGGAUGACGGCCCUACGGGUUGUAAACUGCUUUUAUACGGGAAUAACGCGCCUUACGUGUAGGGCUUUGCAUGUACCGUAUGAAUAAGGACCGGCUAAUUCCGUGCCAGCAGCCGCGGUAAUACGGAGGGUCCGGGCGUUCUCCGGAUUUUUGGGGUUUAAAGGGAGCGUAGGCCGCAUGUCAAGCGGUCUUUGAAAUGUCCGGGCUCAACCCGGGCCUUGCAGCGCGAACUGGCGUGCUUGAGUCCGCGGAAAGCAGGCGGAAUUCGUCGUGUAGCGGUGAAAUGCUUAGAUAUGACGAAGAACCCCGAUUGCGAAGGCAGCUUGCUGCAGCGGAACUGACGCUGAUGCUCGAAAGCGCGGGUAUCGAACAGGAUUAGAUACCCGGGUAGUC
rnacentral:rRNA from 1 species